CCUGCCCCUAGCAGCUUUGCAGGUGUGGCUGCUAUGUCAUAUGUCCAUCAGUAGGUGCCAGAGAGAGGAGACAGGCUAUGUCUAAGCUCUGUGUUCCUAUCUGUGAAUGUCUGAAUAAAUAGAAGCCUAACAUU